UGGGGAAUAUUGCACAAUGGGCGAAAGCCUGAUGCAGCAACGCCGCGUGAGUGAUGAAGGCCUUCGGGUUGUAAAGCUCUGUCUUUUGGGACGAUAAUGACGGUACCAAAGGAGGAAGCCACGGCUAACUACGUGCCAGCAGCCGCGGUAAUACGUAGGUGGCAAGCGUUGUCCGGAUUUACUGGGCGUAAAGGAUGCGUAGGCGGAUUUUUAAGUGAGAUGUGAAAUACCCGGGCUUAACUUGGGUGCUGCAUUUCAAACUGGGAAUCUAGAGUGCGGGAGAGGAGAAUGGAAUUCCUAGUGUAGCGGUGAAAUGCGUAGAGAUUAGGAAGAACACCAGUGGCGAAGGCGAUUCUCUGGACCGUAACUGACGCCGAGGCAUGAAAGCGUGGGUAGCAAACAGGAUUAGAUACCCUGGUAGUCCACGCCGUAAACGAUGAGUACUAGGUGUAGGAGGUAUCGACCCCUUCUGUGCCGCAGUUAACACAAUAAGUACUCCGCCUGGGAAGUACGAUCGCAAGAUUAAAACUUAAAUGAUUGACGGGGUCAUAGCUGUUUCC
rnacentral:rRNA from 1 species